rnacentral:tRNA from 2 species
GCUGUGAUGGCCGAGUGGUUAAGGCGUUGGACUCGAAAUCCAAUGGGUUCUUCCCACGCAGGUUCAAAUCCUGCUCACAGCG